GUGGGGAAUAUUGGGCAAUGGGCGCAAGCCUGACCCAGCAACACCGCGUGAAGGAAGAAGGCUUUCGGGUUGUAAACUUCUUUUACCAGGGACGAAACAAAUGACGGUACCUGGUGAAUAAGCCACGGCUAACUACGUGCCAGCAGCCGCGGUAAUACGUAGGUGGCGAGCGUUAUCCGGAUUUAUUGGGUGUAAAGGGCGUGUAGGCGGGACAGCAAGUCAGAUGUGAAAACCAGAGGCUCAACCUCUGGCCUGCAUUUGAAACUGUUGUUCUUGAGUGUCGGAGAGGUAAUCGGAAUUCCGUGUGUAGCGGUGAAAUGCGUAGAUAUACGGAGGAACACCAGUGGCGAAGGCGGAUUACUGGACGAUAACUGACGCUGAGGCGCGAAAGCGUGGGGAGCAAACAGGAUUAGAAACCCUUGUAGUCC
rnacentral:rRNA from 1 species